GCAGUUAAAGCUCGUAGUCGGAUUUCAGUAUUAGGCCCUUCUCCCAAUAUGGUUGCUAGUGGUCUUUACUUCCUUAACAGAAUCUUUCAUCUCAUUAAUUUGGGGUGUUUGGGGCCUGUUUCUUUUACUUUGAGAAAAUUAGAGUGUUCAAAGCGGGUUUUCGCCUGGAUAUUACUCUUGGAAUAAUAAUAUAGGACUUUGGUUCUUUUUUGUUGGUGACUUAGAACCGAAGUAAUGAUUGAUAGGGACAGUUGGGGUCAUUCGUACUAUGAAGCGAGAGGUGAAAUUCUUGGACCUUUGUAUGACGAACUACUGCGAAAGCAUUUGACUAGGAUGUUCCCGUUGAUCAAGAACGAAAGUUGGGGGAUCGAAGACGAUCAGAUACCGUCGUAGUCUCAACCAUAAACUAUGCCAGCUAGGGAUUGGAGGAAGAUCUAUUUACGUCUCCUUCAGCACCUUAUGAGAAAUCAAAGCAUUUGGGUUCCGGGGGGAGUAUGGUCGCAAGGCUGAAACUUAAAGGAAUUGACGGGAGGGCACCACCAGGAGUGGAGCCUGCGGCUUAAUUUGAUUCAACACGGGAAAACUUACCAGGUCCGGACAUGGGAAGGAUUGACAGAUUGAAAGCUCUUUCUUGAUUCUAUGGGUGGUGGUGCAUGGCCGUUCUUAGUUGGUGGAGUGAUUUGUCUGGUUAAUUCCGUUAACGAACG
rnacentral:rRNA from 1 species